AUUGAACGCUGGCGGCAUGCUUUACACAUGCAAGUCGAACGGCAGCGCGGGCUUCGGCCUGGCUGCGAGUGGCGAACGGGUGAGUAAUGCAUCUGAACGUGCCCAGGAGUGGUGGAUAGCCCGGCGAAAGCCGGAUUAAUACCGCAUACGACCUGAGGCUGAAAGCGAGGGACCGAAAGGCCUCGCGCUAUUGGAGCGGCCGAUGUCGGAUUAGCUAGUUGGUGGGGUAAAGGCUUACCAAGGCGACGAUCCGUAGCUGGUCUGAGAGGACGACCAGCCACACUGGAACUGAGACACGGCCCAGACUCCUACGGGAGGCAGCAGUGGGGAAUUUUGGACAAUGGGGGCAACCCUGAUGCAGCCAUGCCGCGUGCGGGAAGAAGGCCUUCGGGUUGUAAACCGCUUUUGUUCGGGAAGAAAUCCUCUGGGCUAAUACCCCGGGGGGAUGACGGUACCGGAAGAAUAAGCACCGGCUAACUACGUG
rnacentral:rRNA from 1 species